AAAAUGGAUACCAAAAGUGAACGUUGCUGUUCCAAGAUCAAGAACCACGCCUCCUCCUCCGGUGCCGGGACAUUCCGAACACGACGAAACACGAGUCGAGAUGAUGAAACGAGAGCUGAAAGGGCUCUUGGGCUGCCACCACCACCGAUGAAAAGCCUCUCCUCCACUGCCUCGGACGGGCGGCCGAGAAAGCGAGCUCUCCUCUGUGGGGUGAGUUACAAGAACUGGAAACAUAAGCUACUUGGGACUUUGAAUGAUGUUCGGAAUAUGCAAGAUUUGUUGAUCAAUCAUUUUGGAUAUUCCAAAUAUAACAUUCGUAUUCUUACAGAGUAUGAAACCAACCCAGAGCGAGUACCAACAAAGAAGAACAUCCAAAGCGGACUAAAAUGGCUAGUUGAAGGUUGCAGGGGAGGCGAAAGCCUGGUGUUCUACUUCUCCGGCCAUGGAUUACGGCAGCCGGAUUUCGCGAUGGACGAGCUCGACGGCUACAACGAGACGAUAUGCCCAGUAGACUUCAUGGAGGAAGGGAUGAUAAGCGACAACGAGAUCAACGCCACCAUUGUUUCCCCUCUGAAGGCCGGCGUCAACCUCCACAGCAUCGUCGACGCCUGCCACAGCGCCACAAUGCUCGAUCUCGCCUAUGUCUAUGACCGCAACAGGGAUGAGUGGCUGGACAACAGACCGCCGUCGGGAGCGUGGAAGGCGACGAGUGGUGGAUUGGCGAUUUGUUUGAGUGCUUGUGGAGAUGAUGAAUUUGCUGCUGAUACUUCUAUAUUAUCAGGGAAGACGAUGAACGGAGCACUGACGUUCAUUCUUAUCGAUUUGGUUAAGAGAUUUGGAGAAAUGACGUAUGGACGCAUGCUUGAUUGCAUGCAAGAAGCUGUUCAAAGGGCCAACAAAAAAGGAUGCCUCCCAUGUGUUUUUUUCAGAAAAUUGUUCGAAUACAAACAAAUUCAGGUCAUUUACUCAUUACCCUUUCAUUUUUUUUUUCUUCUUUUUUAACGUCUUUUCCUUAAAUUUGAAUAAACGUUCGUCAUGGAUCGCCAGUGAAGAAACUAAUGAAUUCUACAUAAUUCAACUAUUAGAACACUUGAAAUUGAGUUCUUGAACUUGAUACGAACAUUCAAACUUAAACACCACAACUUUGGUUAAAGUGUCGAGUUAUUUAGUGUCGAGUUUUUCUGUCUCUUUUUCAUUCUCCUCUUAAUGAACUCCUUCCUCACACACGUCACGAAUGUGAAUUUACUUGAAUAUCCUUAAGGCAUUGUUAUGAGAAGGCUCUUAGAGUGGAAAUAUUAUUUAAUGAAGUCGUUACUGUACGACUGUUUUAUAAUAACUAUCAGAUGUGAACUCAAAAUUUUAUAUAACACUAAUAACGAGCCACAAGCCAACUUCUCCAGUAGGUUCUUUGUUGCUUAUGAACCAAUUGGAUGAGUGGUUGUUGUGGAUUUGACGUCCUAGAAGGAACGGGGCGGCUAAAAUAUCGAAUGGUGUUGGCCUAUCUAUAUUAUUAGAACCUCGACUCUCAUCAUCAGAGAUUUUUGACGUGCACAAGAAAAUAUUUACAUUAUAACUC